ensembl:lncRNA novel transcript
CUCUACUGUGCUAGCUAAUGCAAAGCUACCUUUGCAUAUGUAAGGUCUAGCAGGGGAGAACCAGGAGGUAGGCAGCAGAAGAUCCUUUAUAAAAGACCAAGCCUGAAAUCUGAAAAUCCCUGAAAUUCCUUAGAAAUUGAUCAUCUUAACUCUUUCUUUGCCAAGCCCGCAUUUCCUGAUUUAUAUCCUUGUUACAGCUGAAAGAAGCUCAUCAUGUAAAGGUUUAUAGCACCACCAUUUUCCUCAGAGGAUUUUACAUAUGCAACCUAUGGAUGGAUUUUUAUAAGAACUAUACCUUGGACUUCUUGCAUGAAGUUAGGAAGGUUAUCUUCAGAGGCUCCAAGUUUUAAUGCAUUCCAGUGUUGUCAAAUCCAAAAGCAAUUAAAUACUGUUGUGUGGUUUUGAAUUAUAGCCUGCUUGUUAAAAUAGCUACUGUUUCCCCUAAGGACAGCCUGCAUUUUUACCUGAUGUCAUCUGACUCUGGGUCUCAAGAGAGUGGGGAACCUAAUAGAACAACUGAAUAAAUGUAGUUCUAAGACAGUGAA